rnacentral:rRNA from 1 species
UACAGAGGUCUCAAGCGUUGUUCGGAUUCAUUGGGCGUAAAGGGCGCGUAGGCGGCGGGGUCAGUCGGGUGUGAAAUCUUGGGGCUUAACCCCGAAACGGCACUCGAAACUGCCCGGCUGGAGGGCCGGAGAGGAGAUCGGAAUUCACGGUGUAGCAGUGAAAUGCGUAGAGAUCGUGAGGAAGACCCGUGGCGAAGGCGGAUCUCUGGACGGCCAACUGACGCUGAGGCGCGAAAGCGUGGGGAGCAAACAGG